GGGGGGACCACCCUCCAACCCUAAAUACUACCCAGUGACCGAUAGCGUAUAGUACUGUGAAGGAAAGGUGAAAAGCACCCCGGGAGGGGAGUGAAAAAGAACCUGAAACCCUGUGCCUACAAGCACCUAGAGCACGUCAAUGUGUGAUAGGGUACUUUUUGUAGAACGGUCCGGCGAGCGAUUGUAUGCAGCAAGGUUAAGGACUUAAGGUCUGGAGCCGAAGCGAAAGCGAGUUUGAAAAGGGCGUUAAGUUGCAUAUAAUGGGCCCGAAACCGGGUGACCUACCCAUGGUCAGGUUGAAGUGGAAGUAAAAUUCCAUGGAGGACCGAACCGACCUCCGUUGAAAAGGCGGCGGAUGAACUGUGGGUAGCGGAGAAAUUCCAAUCGAACCCGGAGAUAGCUGGUUCUCCCCGAAAUAGUUUUAGGACUAGCCUCAAGUUAGAUACCUGGAGGUAAAGCACUGAAUAGCCUAGCGGCCGAGAGGUUAGCGAAGCUUAUCAAACUCAGAAUGCCAGAGUAUUGAUGCUUGGGAGUCAGACAGUGUCAGAUAAAUGUCAUUGUCAAAAGGGAAACAGCCCAGAUCUACAGCUAAGGUCCCAAAGUCAGGUUAAGUGGAAAACGAUGUGAAGAUACGUAGACAACCAGGAUGUUGGCUCAGAAGCAGCCACACAUUCAAAGAGUGCGUAAUAGCUCACUGGUCGAGCGUCUUUGCGCGGAGAAUUUAACGGGGCUAAACCUGACACCGAAGCUUAGGCAAUACAGCAAUGUAUUGGGUAGGGGAGCGUUGUAUACGCGGUGAAACAGUAGCGCAAGCGGCUGUGGAGUGUAUAGAAGUGAGAAUGCCGGAAUGAGUAGCGCGAAUGCAGUGAGAAUCUGCAUGGCCGAAAGCCUCAGGUUUCUGGAGGAAGGUUCGUCCGCUCCAGGUUAGUCGGGAGCUAAGGUGAGGCCUAACGGCGUAGCCGAUGCACAGACGGUAGAGAUUCCGUCACCACCAAAAGAGUUAAGCACAGGGACACAUUUGAAGUCUCGGAGCCGGGUGUUGGUUCCGGUAGCGAUCGAGGGAAGUUAGUACCGAAGUCCGGGAUGGAAGAUGGCGAGAAAAGCUGUGUGUAUUUCUGCGGUGCCCGUACCGCAAACCGACACAGGUAGGUAGGAAGAAGAUUCUAAGGCCAACGGGAGAAGGGUUGUUAAGGAACUCGGCAAAUUGACCCCGUAACUUCGGGAGAAGGGGUGCUCCAGAGAUGGAGCCGCAGAGAAUCGGCCCAAGCAACUGUUUACCAAAAACACAGGUUUGUGCUAAAUCGAAAGAUGACGUAUACGAGCUGACGCCUGCCCGGUGCUGGAAGGUUAAGAGGAGAUGUGCAAGCAUUGAAUCGAAGCCCCAGUGAACGGCGGCCGUAACUAUAACGGUCCUAAGGUAGCGAAAUUCCUUGUCAGGUAAGUUCUGACCCGCAUGAAAGGCGUAAUGAUUUGGGCACUGUCUC
rnacentral:rRNA from 1 species